GGCCUCAUCUCUUCAUUGAGCUGUCACCGCAGCAUCUUCUGACCAUUGAGAGCAGCCUCUAAACCUAUCUUGUUCAUGGGCACUUGCAUAGUGCCUGACUCAUAAUAAAUGUUGAGCAGAUACUUAUUAACUUCUCUUAAAAACAAAACAAAACUGUCUUCUUAUUCCCUUGCCUGUAAGCUCUGUAUUGCCUGUCAGACUAGGCCAAGCACACUGUGCCUAGCACAUAUGUUGCUGUUUCUGAAUUGAAUGAAAAUGGGAAGCAUAAAAGCAGAGAAAAGGAUAAAUACUCUACUCCUGGGUUUCCUUGGGAACUAUGGCUAAACAUCAUCCUGAUUUGAUCUUUUGCCACAAGCAGGCUGGUGUUGCCAUCGGAAGACUGUGUGAAAAAUGUGAUGGCAAGUGUGUGAUUUGUGACUCCCCUGUGUGUCCCUGCACUCUGAUGCGCAUGUGAUGAGUGUAACUAUGGAUCUUACCAGGGACGCUGUGUGAUCUGUGGAGGCCCUGGGGUCUCUGAUACCUAUUAUUGUAAGGAGUGUACCAUCCAGGAGAAGGAUAGGGAUGGCUGCCCAAAGAUUGUUAAUUUGGGGAGCUCUAAGACAGAUCUCUUCUAUGAACGCAAAAAAUAUGGCUUCGAGAAAAGGUGACUGGGGGGUGGCCCCUUUCUUCCCCACACAUCAAGCUGCUGCAGCUGCCAGAAAAGAUCCCUACUACUACCAGCAGCAAGGGAGCAGAGCCCAGAGCAUCACCGGGAGUGCCUGCUAGUGUACUGGCAGCUUGCCACUCUCCUCUCACCCAGACAUGUGGCGUGGAUGGAAAAGGAUUCUGCACAGGGCACCCUAGCACACUGUAUGGGAGAAACAUUGAUAGAUUCGUUAAUGGUGUUUCUUGAAUGUUAGAAGCAAAGAUCUUUUCUCCAUAUUGAUAUGUUCUCCCGCAACCAAGAUCUUCUAAAAAGAAAUAAUAUUUUAGUCUUCUGCUUGAGGAGUUGACUGUGAAGCUACGCCCAGUGAAAAACAUGUUCUUGCAGCAGCUCUGGUGGCAGCUGUCCUUGAGGAACCUUCGGUGCGUGGUGGGAAGCUACCAGCACAAGAAAUGUAGGCACUUCCUCUUUUUUUUAUUUUGAAAAGAUGGGAUUUCACCAUGUUGGUCAGGCUGCUCUUAAACUCCCGAC